UACGUAGGGUGCGAGCGUUGUCCGGGAUUAUUGGGCGUAAAGAGCUCGUAGGCGGUGUGUCACGUCGGCCGUGAAAACCUGGGGCUUAACUCUGGGCGUGCGGUCGAUACGGGCAUCACUAGAGUUCGGCAGGGGAGACUGGAAUUCCUGGUGUAGCGGUGAAAUGCGCAGAUAUCAGGAGGAACACCGGUGGCGAAGGCGGGUCUCUGGGCCGAUACUGACGCUGAGGAGCGAAAGCAUGGGUAGCGAACAGG
rnacentral:rRNA from 1 species